rnacentral:rRNA from 1 species
AGUGAACGCUGGCGGUAGGCCUAACACAUGCAAGUCGAACGGCAGCACAGUAAGAGCUUGCUCUUACGGGUUGCGAGUGGCGGACGGGUGAGGAAUACAUCGUAAUCUACUUUUUCGUGGGGGAUAACGUAGGGAGACUUACGCUAAUACCGCAUACGACCUACGGGUGAAAGCAGUGGAUCUUCGGACCUUGCGCGAUUGAAUGAGCCGAUGUCGGAUUAGCUGGUGGGCGGGUUAAAGGCCCACCAAGGCGACGAUCCGUAGCUGGUGUGAGAGGAUGAUCGGCCACACUGGAACUGGGACACGGUCCAGACUCCUAAGGGAGGCAGCAGUGGGGAAUAUUGGACAAUGGGCGCAAGCCUGAUCCAGCCAUACCGCGUGGGUGAAGGAGGCCUUCGGGUUGUAAAGCCCUUUUGUUGGGAAAGAAAAGCAGCAGGUUAAUACCCCGCUGUUCUGACGGUACCCAAAGAAUAAGCACCGGCUAACUUCGUG